rnacentral:lncRNA from 1 species
GUGAGGGGAAAAUAUGGCUGAAGGGAAGGGAGGGGAUCAGAUGGAUCAGUUUCAUAGAUACCUUUCAUUUUUAUUUUUGCUUCUUUCUUUUUAUUCUCUGAUUGCUUCUCUUUGGGUGCUUGCAGGUAAGGUUACAACAGCUGUUAUUUUUAAUCUUAAAUGAUAUGAAGUUGGUAUGCAAGCAAAGGUGUGGGUAUGAAGAAGAAAACCACUUACUGGAAACAGGAAUGGCUUGUGGUUAUGGUUGUUGAAGGUUUCUGCAAAGAAUGAUUGAUACCUACUCCACUGCCCUUUCUCUUUUCCCAUUUUUAUUUUAUUAUAGCAUUCACGUUAACAAUAUUAUUAUUUUAUUAUUUAUGUGUUCUUGAUAAAAAAAACAUAAUACUUUAUAAAAAAUUUUAUUUUAUAAAAAAAUUAUUUUAUUCCUUCAUUUUAUUUUAUUGUCCCUUUUAACUUUUGAAUUUAUUUUUUUUGAAUUUAUUUUUUUUGUUGCUGAUGUGGAUAUUACAUAAGGAAUUAAUUUUUUAAAAAAUUUAAAAUAUUAAUUUUUUUUAUCUAUUUUAAAUAAUUUGACAAAAAAUAUAAAUUUAAUAAUUAAAAAACAAAAAAUUAAAUAAAGUACUAAACUGAUAUUUUGAUAAAGUCGGAGGUAUGCCAUUAUAUAAAAAAGAUAGAACUAUUUUGAUAUUGUAGUGAUGUGAUGGUGAAUGGUCAUAUAUAAAACAUUAAUGGAGUCGAAAAGGAAACCCAGCUGAUGAAGUAACCCGGAAAAUCCUUUUCCUUCCUAUAAAGUGUCGGUUGAUUCAUGCAAUUGGCGCCUUCAUCA